rnacentral:rRNA from 1 species
UACGUAGGGUCCGAGCGUUGUCCGGAAUUAUUGGGCGUAAAGGGCUCGUAGGCGGUCUGUUGCGUCGGGUGUGAAAACUUACAGCUUAACUGUGAGCGUGCUUCCGAUACGGGCAGACUUGAGGUAUUCAGGGGAGAACGGAAUUCCUGGUGUAGCGGUGAAAUGCGCAGAUAUCAGGAGGAACACCGGUGGCGAAGGCGGUUCUCUGGGAAUAUCCUGACGCUGAGGAGCGAAAGUGUGGGGAGCGAGCAGG